GAUCGUGUCCAAGUCACAAUUAGGGGUGUGGAAAAAAAAUUGUGUCAGACAGUAACGGAUUGCAGUUGACUCGACCCGAAUUAGUUGCACACUCGAAGUGGGUUUAAAAAAAAAUUGCCUCGUUUUGUAGCCGGUUUGAUUUGACCCAACCCGUUUCAGAAAAAAAAUAGUAGGGGCCUGAAUAUUCAGUGACUCGUUUCACCCCGCACUGUGCACUUUCUCUCGUUCACGACAGCUAUGGUUCCUGACUUCUUGUUCCUCGAUCGCCGAUCAGUUUCUUGGUGAAGCCUGAAGGGUUUCUUGGCGAAGGGAUCCUCAUUAUUCUUGGAGCUCUCUCUCGUUCUUACAGGUUUUGUAAGGAAAUACUCCAUUCAAUGAUUCUGUGACCCGAAUCAUGAAAUGAUGCAUAUUACUUUGUGUUCUAUAAUGACCUUAAUUUUUUUUAUUUUGGCAUUCUCAUAUGCAAUAGAAGUUUUUGUCAUGUGUCAUGGAUCUUUUUGAUAUAUGGUUCACUAUGCUGGAUCUUAAGAUGAAAACUUAAUUAAGAUGUAUUUUUCUUCUUUUUUUUGUGUAUUCUGAAUUGGUUUCAACUUGAUUAAGAUAUGUAUUUAUCACUCUAUUUUAUUGAAUGUUGAAAGACA